AUGCAGGAUCGUCAUGUGAUUGCCUAUGCAUCUCAACAGUUGCAUCCACAUGAGGAAAAUUAUCCUACACAUGAUCUAGAGCUUGCAGCCGUAGUCUAUGCACUUAAGACUUGGCGACAUUACCUUCUUGGUAACCGUUGCGAAAUCUACACUGACCAUCAGAGUCUCAAGUAUAUCUUCACCCAACCGGAUCUGAAUCUCAGACAGAGACGUUGGUUGGAGUUGAUCUCGGAUUACGACUUAGGAAUCACCUACACCCCAGGUAAAGCCAAUGUCAUGGUUGAUGCUUUAAGUCGUAAAUCCUAUUGCAACAACCUCAUGUUGCAACAAUGUCAACCACCCCUCCAUGAGGAAUUCUGUAAGCUUAACCUUCACAUAGCUCCUCAUGGUUCCCUUUCUACCUUGGUGGCGAAACCUACCCUUAUGGAUCAGAUCAUAGAGGCUCAGAAGCAUGAUACGGGAAUCCCCCAGAUCAAGAAGAAUAUUUCCAAGGGAGUUGCUGGCUGUUUCUCUAUGGAUGAACGAGGUGUUGUUUACUUUGGAAACCGCUUGGUGGUUCCCAAAUGUCAACAGAUGCAGCAACUGAUCCUUAAGGAGGCCCAUGAACUCCCUCUCACGAUUCAUCCCGGUAGUACAAAGAUGUAUCAGGACCUAUGCCAGAGGUUCUGGUGGACUAGGAUGAAGAGAGAAAUCGCUCUGUAUAUUGCCAACUAUGACGUUUGUCGUUGCGUUAAGGCAGAGCAUCAGAGACCUGCUGGCACCCUUCAACCUUUAGCUAUUCCCGAGUGGAAAUGGGACAAAGUUGGUAUGGACUUCAUCACCGGCUUUCCCAGGACCAAGAAAGGAAAUAAUGCUAUCUUCGUUGUCAUUGAUCGUCUUUCCAAAGUGGCUCACUUCCUACCUGUUCGAGAGAGUAUCACUGCUAGUCAGCUCGCUGACUUAUAUAUCUCCCGAAUAGUGUCACUCCAUGGUGUUCCACUAGAGAUCAAUUCAGACCGUCGCAGUCUUUACACCUCUCAUUUCUGGGAAAGUUUCCAAACUACCAUGGGCACCCAUCUUUCCUUAAGUACCGCUUUCCACCCUCAAUCAAGUGGUCAGGUGGAAAGGGUCAACCAAAUUCUCGAAGACAUGCUUAGAGCUUGCGUUAUCUCAUUCGGUAUGGAUUGGGAGAAAUGUCUUCCCUUUGUCGAUUUUGCUUAUAACAAUAGCCACCAAUCCAGUCUUAAGAAAGCACCCUUCGAGAUUCUGUAUGGACGAAGAUGUCGAACACCUUUGAACUGGCCAGAAACUGGUGAAAGACAAUAUUUUGGACCGGAUAUGAUCCAGAAGGUAGAAGAGCAAGUUCGCAUCAUUCGUGAGAAUUUGAAAACAGCCCAAUCUCGUCAAAAGAGCCAGUAUGACCACCGUCAUAAGGAAGUGGCUUAUGAAGUUGGCGACAAGGCUUACCUUCGGGUUACUCCUUUGAAGGGUACCCAUCGUUUCGGUAUCAAGGGCAAGUUGGCUCCUCAUUACAUUGGUCCUUUUCGCAUUCUCGCUAAACGAGGAGAGGUUGCCUACCAGUUGGAACUACCCCCACAUCUUUCUCGAGUUCAUGAUGUCUUCCACGUCUCUCAACUCAGGCGUUGCUUCUCGGAUCCCAUCCGCCGAGUGGACCACGAAACGCUUGAUCUCCAAGAUAACCUCACAUAUCGAGAGUACCCUGUUCGCAUUCUGGAUCAAGCAGAGCGUGUCACUCGACGUCAUAACAUCAAGUUUCUCAAGGUUCAAUGGUCUCAUCAUUCCGAGAGAGAAGCAACUUGGGAGCGAGAAGAUCGUCUUCGACUUGAGUACCCCGCUUUCUUUCCGCCAACUCCUGAAUCUCGGGACGAGAUUUUUUCGAGUGGGGGCGAGUUGUCACAUCCCUAG
rnacentral:rRNA from 1 species